GAUAACGCUGGCGGCGUGCCUAACACAUGCAAGUCGAACGUCCUCUCUCGCAAGAGAGAGGGAGUGGCGGACGGGUGAGUAACACAUGGGUCACCUACCCUUAAGUGAGGAAUACCGGCGAGAAAUCGCCGACAAGACCGCAUAGGCUCUCUCUUUUGUCAAGAGAGAGCAAAGACUUCGCAAGAGGCGCUUGAGGAUGGGCCUGUGGCCGAUUAGCUGGUUGGAGGGUUAAUGGCUUACCAAGGCGACGAUCGGUAGCU
rnacentral:rRNA from 1 species